rnacentral:rRNA from 1 species
UUCCGGUUGAUCCUGCCGGACCCGACUGCUAUCAGAGUGGGACUAAGCCAUGCGAGUCAACAUAGCAAUAUGUGGCAUACGGCUCAGUAACACGUAGUCAACAUGCCCAGGGGACGUGGAUAACCUCGGGAAACUGAGGAUAAACCGCGAUAGGUCAUCACUUCUGGAAUGGGUAAUGACUUAAACCUAUAUGGCCCCUGGAUUGGACUGCGGCCGAUCAGGCUGUUGGUGAGGUAAUGGCCCACCAAACCUGUAACCGGUACGGGCUCUGAGAGGAGGAGCCCGGAGAUGGGCACUGAGACAAGGGCCCAGGCCCUAUGGGGCGCAGCAGGCGCGAAACCUCUGCAAUAGGCGAAAGCUUGACAGGGUUACUCUGAGUGAUUUCCGUUAAGGAGAUCUUUUGGCACCUCUAAAAAUGGUGCAGAAUAAGGGGUGGGCAAGUCUGGUGUCAGCCGCCGCGGUAAUACCAGCACCCCGAGUGGUCGGGACGUUUAUUGGGCCUAAAGCAUCCGUAGCCGGUUCUACAAGUCUUCCGUUAAAUCCACCUGCUUAACAGAUGGGCUGCGGAAGAUACUAUAGAGCUAGGAGGCGGGAGAGGCAAGCGGUACUCGAUGGGUAGGGGUAAAAUCCGUUGAUCCAUUGAAGACCACCAGUGGCGAAGGCGGCUUGCCAGAACGCGCUCGACGGUGAGGGAUGAAAGCUGGGGGAGCAAACCGGAUUAGAUACCCGGGUAGUCCCAGCUGUAAACGAUGCAGACUCGGUGAUGAGUUGGCUUAUUGCUAACUCAGUGCCGCAGGGAAGCCGUUAAGUUUGCCGCCUGGGGAGUACGGUCGCAAGACUGAAACUUAAAGGAAUUGGCGGGGGAGCACCACAAGGGGUGAAGCCUGCGGUUCAAUUGGA